rnacentral:lncRNA from 10 species
GUCAUUUCUUUUCUGUUUUCCUCUCCCUCCUCCUCCACUCUGCUCAGGUCCCUCUCACUCUUUUUUUUUUUUAACCGCUACGCCACAGUCCCCGGGAGAAUUCAGAUCCCAACCGGGGCUUCCGGAUUCUGUAGUGGCUUUGGCCUGUGUCUGGUCUGAGGACGCCCGGAAGGCAUUGCACUGAGGCUAAGGGAAAGGUCUCUGGAGGGAGCCUCAGGAAGAGCAAAUGGAGGCCAGAGACUGGCAGGAGCGCGCCAGCGCAGGAUUUAAUCCCGACGAGCGGAUUCAGAGCCGUGCUUAUAUAAAGCUUCAGGAAGCGCCGUUCCGACGAUGAGGUCGACACGCGAGAGGCGACCUCAAGAGCGGCGGCGCCAGGGAUCUGUGCGCCAAGGGAGGACGGGAGGGAGCAGGUUCGCCAUAAUUCCUGGCUCCAGGCUCUGUUUUGUUGGACCGAGCCACUGUAUUUUAGCUCACACAGGAGAAUUCUGGCCCUGGGAAAAUUGGUCUCAGCAUGCUGCCAAGCUUUCUCAUGGACGUCAGCGAAUCCCAACACACUGUCGGUCAAAGCCGUGCUGGAAGAAACAAAACAGUUCUCCCUCGGUAGAACUGAGAGGGGAUUGGUCCAGGGCCCCCGCCGAUACCAAAAUCCAGGUUGCUCAAGUCUCUCAUAGAAAGUGGCGUAGUAUUUGCACAUAACUAUGCACAUCCUCCCGUGUACUUUAAAUAGUCUCUAAAUUACUUCGUAACACCUAAUCCAGUGUAAAUGCUAUGUAAGUAAUUGUUAUACUGUUUUUAUUUUUACUAUCUUUUGUUGUACUUUUUUUUAAAAAAGAAAUUCAUUUGUUUAAUAUUUUCGGUCUUGGGGAACCCGCGUAUAUGGAGGGCCUGCUACAUAGAGAAGACUGAGGGAUAUUCUGUGCAUCCGUUUCUACGGAUCCUCUAAAUCGGCCUUUGUUUUCAGCCAGGAUUUAGUGCCCAGCUGUGUCCUUUGGAGGCCCCACAUGGAGCUAGCAAAGUUUGCUAAAUCGGGUUUUGCAAGAGGACUGUCUGCUCCAUACUGGGAGUAGUUACCGCAAACUGCCCUAUGAAAUUGGUUGGGGUUCUUACUGUUAGCAUGUUUAUUACUUUAUCAGGGCUCUCUGUAGGAGAGUCUAUGAGAAAAUCUUCUGGUUUCUGCUGAAAGAAUCGUGUUUUGUUGGGGUUUUUUUCCCGAAAAAUAUUAUUUUUAAAAACU